UUAUUAUGAAUCCCUUAGGGUUUGGUACUUUAGUUUAGGCCAUAUCCCAUUUCUUUUUCUAUCUGUUCAUUGAGUUUCUAGAGGAGAGUUGACUGAUCGGAGAGAUCUUGCGGUGUCUUAUUCUUUGGAUUCUCACUUCUUUCGUUGCAAUUUGGAAAUCGAAACAGGAUGUCGAGGAGAGUGUUAUUAAACAAGAUGAUCCAAGCUAGGAACAGUAUCGGGAAGAUACAAACUCCAGUAUCGUCAACUUCAGUAUUAAACAAUGAAUUCCAUACCUUAGGGAGCACCAAUGGACUUAUUAAUAGGCAAAUUCAGAAUGGAACUUAUCCUCCUUAUCAGAAUACCACCACAAGAUGCUUUGGGGCAACUCCAUUAGAGAAAGUGCAAAAGUCAGCUGUGAAAGGGAACACAUUGAAAAAGAUGUUUGAGGCGAACCGUGCUGUUUUCUGGCAUAUGAAUCUUGGAAUGGAAGAGAUAUUGAAAGAUUAUGUUCACCAGGAAGUCACUCGUGAAUGGGUCUCUGUCUAUUUGAGAGUUUUUUCUAUCAUUGUGAUGAAGGAUCUUGUCUUGGCUCUUGUUUGAACUUGUUCCAGAACCUACCAGUAAGCAGUAUCUCACAAUAAGCACCUUGAACACCCGAUGCACAUCGAUCAGUCAUCGGUUGGAUUUAAGAUAAGGGAUAUUCUUCUUCUCGCUAUUGUUGUUCUGGUUCUUUUCAUUUCAGCAUAAUUGGGAGUUAUCCUUUACUUUGCUUCUUUUUAAUUUUGUAUCUUAUGUUCUCUGAAGUUUAGUUGUUGGAUGUGAUUUAUAUCCUCCAAAGACCUAAUAGUUUCUGCAAAUAAAUACAUGCUCAGGUUCAUAAGUUAGUUUUUCAACAAUUUCAAUCCAAAUCGGAAAUGGCUGU